rnacentral:rRNA from 1 species
GGAUGCCCUCCGUCGUCACCCCUUAUAACGUGUUACCCGCGUUCGGACUACGUCGCUGCGGCGCACCCCCUACUGCCGGAAGCCCAACAUUUGGAGAAAGUGGUAGCCGCUUCGGCCUACGAAAACACAGACCACUGCCAUCCACCUCUUCUUCG